CUACAUUUAAACAAAAAGAUUACUAAAAUAAAAUAAAAUAUAAAACUUUUGUUUAGCUUAAAUAAAUUGAUUGCAACCACUUACCUUAAUUUUAUUUUUAUUAAAUUCAAUGAAUCAUGUUUUUCAGUGUUGGGGUCAGUACUAAAUGCAAAAAAAGUUUUCAGAACUUGCAACUACUUAUUUGUCUUUUAUUAAAAGAGUGUUUAACUUAUUUUGUAUACUUAUCAUUAAUAAUUUAACUUAAUAAUUUGGAUAAAGAAAUGUUACCUUCAGUUGGUACAGACUGGGUCUCUGAAGUUGGAUUAUCCUCUGCCACAGUUAGUGGGUGUUUUGCACGUAGAUGGCGAAGCAUUGAAGAUGUGUUGUUGGAAAAUGAUAAAGUUUGAUCACAUAUACCACAUACUACUUGUGUUGGACUUUUUAGACUGAAAUGUUCCCACACCUGAGAACGGGUUCUCUUUCGUGCAUUUUCCAUAAUUAUUAGCGUGCUAGUCAGACAGCGUCUACUGUACAAGCAGCAAACAGUACUGUGAUUGAGGUCGGACUUUUAUGAGUGAUGGUUGAGUCGGCAAAGUGUUAAAUGACACUCAAACAACACGGUCAUUGUGGUUUUAUUAUUAUUAUUAUUAAUGAACAACAAUACACAUGCACAUACAAUGUUAUAGACAUUGAUACAUUAUAAUUAUUUAAUGCUUUAACUGGAACAAAUCGCGCGCUGUGAAACCUGCAUGACGUGUCAGUGAGGUAACGAAGCUUCGUUUCCAUAGGUCACGUGACAGUCUCAUUUCAAGCUAGGCUCCGGAGCACUGUUUCGAAGCAGUAGUGUUUCGAAAGCUCGGUACGUGUGUCGGGACAGUGUUUCGAGCGACCCAUCCCUAGUAUGAGGAGGAAAAAAACAGAGAAAAACCAACAGCAAAGACGUUAGAUAGAAGUAGAACAUAGAAGCAUAGAAACAAACAAACAAUAUGCAUAACGCGGCCGCGGGUAAAAAGCGGAAAGAAAAGGGUGGGGCUGAGAAGGCGAGAGAAAAAAAAUUGCGGAAUUUAGAUAGUGAAGCAGCUAUUAGUUGCAGAACUAUUUAGUUGCAGAACAAAGCGACCUGUUGAAGAAAAUCCUUAUCCCCCAACAUUGAGUAAAAUUCCAUUGCUGGAUUGUUUUUUUAGGUGAGUAUUCAACCUCCAUUUAUAUGUGAGUAUUCAAGUUAAACUGUAUAUUAAAACCUCUUUACUUUGUGAUUUAUCAUAUAACUCAUACAGUACUAUGUGUUGUGUGUUUCAGAUACCUGUUUUGUAUUGGUUCAGCCAGAGGGACUGCAGUGUGUUGAGACCUCCAUUUACAUAUACCUGUUUUGUAUUGGUUCAGCCAGAGGGACUGCAGUGUGUUGAGACCUCCAUUUAUAUAUACCUGUUUUGUAUUGGUUCAGCCAGAGGGACUGCAGUGUGUUGAGACCUCCAUUUA